ensembl:lncRNA
AUGCAAGAAUUCUCAUCAUACCACAGUUUUGAUCAACUGGUGGAACAUGAAGCACAGAAACAAUUAAAACAAGCCAAUCGGACAAGAGAUUUAUCCGCCCAAGACUACGUAGCUGCUGAGAUAUCACUCUUUAAACAAGCCCAAGCUAUGUGUUUCCCAGUUGAACUUGAUACAUUAACAUGUGGUAAAUCUUUGCCUCCCAACAGCAGAUUAGUCUCACUUGCACCGGAGAUUGACCAAUCUACUGGGCUCAUAAGAGUUGGUGGCCGUUUGCGACGUAGUGAGCUGCUUAGGCCAGAUACUGUCCAUCCAAUUGUCAUUGAUCCCAAACACCCACUCAGUCAACUCCUGAUCCAACAUUAUGAUGAAAAACUUCAUCAUCCUGGCCCAGAAAGAGUAUUUGCUGAGUUACGCCGUAAAUACUGGAUCAUCAGAGGGCGAGAAGCAGUACGGCGGCACCAACAUCAGUGUCGUGAAUGCAAAAAAUGGCGUGGAAAGCCUGAAGUGCCAAAAAUGGCUGAUUUACCACCAGCCCGACUCCGUCUCUACCGCCCAGCUUUUUAUUCGACAGGUGUUGAUUGUUUUGGGCCUUAUACAAUCAAAGUAGGCCGGCGCAAUGAAAAACGGUGGGGGAUCAUAUUUAAAUGUAUGACGACCAGAGGAGUCUACAUUGAUUUACUUCCUAAAAUUGAUACAGAUUCAUUCCUCAUGGCCCUACGCAGAUUCACUGCACGCAGAGGAACUCCCCAUGAACUCUAUUCUGACCGGGGAACCAACUUCAAGGGAGGAGAAAGGGAACUAUCAGAAGCAUUUGCGGCCAUGCAACCCAAUCUGCAAAGUCAGCUUGCAAAGCAGAAAAUUCAGUUUAAAUUCAAUCCCCCUGGAGCUCCUCAUUUUGGUGGACUAUGGGAGAGGGAGAUCAGGUCUCUAAAAUCUGCUCUCAAUGUUACCCUUGGAGCCCAACAUGUAACUGAGGAAGUGCUUAGCACAGUGCUUACAGAGAUCGAAGGCAUGUUAAACUCCAAACCCCUGGGCUACGUGUCAUCGGACAUUGCAGAUGUUGACCCCAUCACACCAAACAGCCUGUUAUUGGGGCGGCCAGACCCUGAUUUACCCCAAAUUGUAUACCCUGAGUCCGAAUUACUUAGCAGAAAACGCUGGAGACAUAGUCAGGUCCUUGCCGACCAUUUUUGGGCCCACUUCAUCAAGAGAUACUUGCCUGAACUGCAAACUCGUACAAAGUGGAUUACUGAGACUGGCAAAGAUCUAAAGACCGGGACAGUAGUGAUGAUAGUGGAUCACCAAUUGCCUCGAGCCCUCUGGCCAGUGGGUAAGGUCUCAGCCACAGUACCCGGUGCUGAUGGGAAAAUUAGAACUGCUGAAGUACAAGUGCAGGGUUGGAAAUACAUCCGACCAGUGAGUAAACUUAUCUGUUUGCCACCUCUACCUGAGGAUAACAAAGACUCGUAA